AUUUUCCUUCCUGGGGCUCCACCCUGGCGGCCCCACUUGUUCUUCUUCCUGAUACUGUGGAGAAGCUGGAUUUGGCCUCACGGGAGGAUGGGGCCCUGUGCCCAGAAAAGUGCCAGGGCCUCUAGGACUUCAAGAGGGGAGGACUGGCCACAUCGGAUUCACCUUUGUUCGGCUUGACUCCCGUGCCUGGUACUGUGCUCGGCCAGCAACGAGGAGCAGCUCAGUCUUUGCUAAACGAAGCAGGAUCUUCGCAGUAAAUUUUAUGCCAUGACCAACA